CUGUGAACAUUAUUUUUAAAGACAACAAUGAAACUCUGCAUUUCCAUGGUGCAGCCUGGUGCCCUUUGUACACACACGUGCUGCCACCUGUGAAUCAAAGUCUCACCUGCACCCCUCGGCCUUGGCUAAUGAAGCAACUCAGAGGCAUGUGAGACCUGGUUCCCAAUUGCUCCUGCCCCAUCCUCUACUUUCCCUGGUGUAUGGCUAAAACCAACAGCUCAGGGGCGAUGGCCUGGAUAUAUAUUGGAAGAUUCUGCAAAAAUCUGACAAGCAAGCUCUGAGUGCACUCCUCGUGGCGCCUUUGACUCAAGUCCUUGGAUGGGAAGGAGUGAGAAAAUCUUUCCAUCAUCCACUUCACAAGGGAACAGGCCUGGAGUGCUUUAGGGAGAAGAAUGGAGCUUAGAGAGAUUCCUGAGCAUCAGGGAAGGCUCCCAGAGAAGCACCGCCGGCCUUAUCCACAAUGAAAGGAGGGGCAGCCCACUCAGGGCAAGCCUGUGCCUACAGGCUUCUCGGUGGCCUCCCUACACUCAUCCAAGAAUGACACAGGGCAGAGAAGGAUGAACUGGAAAUGAAGAUCUCACCUAAAUCAAACACGCACCAUUUUCUGAAUGAGAAGAUAAGACUCAAUCUUGUGACAUGGCACUCCUUCCCAAACUCAUCCCUAGGUAGAGGGAACUUUGCUCAACAUUUCCAAAGAGAAGGGGCAGGGGGAGAUGUUUGGGGUCUUUACAGACAUUGACAACAAUGAGGCUCAAGUGCAAUGUUCUGCAAUUGACCUGAAAGGUGUUUUUGAAAAAUAAAGAGUGCUGAAGAGAGA